rnacentral:rRNA from 1 species
AUACGGAGGGUGCAAGCGUUGUUCGGAAUCACUGGGCGUAAAGCGCACGUAGGUGGAUCAAUCAGUUGAGGGUGAAAUCCCGGGGCUCAACCUCGGAACUGCCUUCAAUACUGUUGGUCUUGAGUCCGAGAGAGGUGAGUGGAAUUCCUAGUGUAGAGGUGAAAUUCGUAGAUAUUAGGAAGAACACCAGUGGCGAAGGCGGCUCACUGGCUCGGUACUGACGCUGAGGUGCGAAAGCGUGGGGAGCAAACAGGAUUAGAAACCCCUGUAGUCC